CUCUUAAGGAAGGGGAGAAUGGGGUUGAGAAAGGGGCCAAUGGAGCUAGGUAGCAUAGUAAAUAGAGGGCAUCUUCCAACUGCCUUCAAGUCAUCAAACAGUUAUUCAUAAUAGUAUGUAUUUGUAUAAUACCUUAAUAUUCACAACAGGCCUGUGAACUAGGUCGUGAAAGUAUUAUUAGAUCCAAUUUACAGGGUGAGUAAAGGAAGGUUCACAAAGGUGAACCAAUUAAUCUAUGGUGACAUAUGUAAAUAUCUGAGUCAGGAGUAGAAUUCAUUCAUUCACUCAAUUCAUUCCUUCAACCACACAGUAAAGCAUGCAGGCAAAAAAGCCAUUUAUCAAGUACCUACUAUGUUCUAGGUCCUUGGGGAUUGAGUGAAAAAUGAAAAUCUCUUGACUUCUGGUACACGACGAUCUACCACCAUUCCCCCUCCGGAGUCCAAUAAUGAUAGCGAACAUAUACUGCUUUAAGUUUUGAGAAGUGCCUUAAAUAGCUUAUCUUAUUUGAUCCUCACAACAACCCUGUGAAGUAGGAAAUAAGUAGAAUGAUCUCCGUUUUACAAAUGAAGAAACUAGGCACAGGCAGACUGACUUGUCCAAGGGUCACGCAGCUAGCGUCUUGGGCUAGGGUCCGUGCUGGGUACUGGGGAGACAAACCUUGAACCUGAGGAGGAUGGUCUACGCUCCAGAGAGCUCCAGCUGGGUGUUCCUCGCUUUCUAGGCUCAAGGAACCCACCCCUCGCCCAGUUCCCGAGGCCGGGCUGUUCAGGACUUCCUGCCUGCUGCAGAGGCUCAGUGCAGAGGCUGGGGACGGGGGCGGGGCAGGGGCGGGGCAGGCGCGUACCAAGUGAGCCGGAGCUACAGGAACCACCUCCCCAGUCGCCCCUAACCCUCCCUCUUUCCUCCUUCUUCCUCCCUUCUCCCUCCUCCGCAGUGCUCAGGUGAGAAGUCGGAGAGUUGGACCGGUGGCUUGAGCGGGAGUGGGGCCAGCGCUGCUAGCCUGCUAUCUGGGCGCUAAGCGGACGCCACCUCCACGUCGCUCCUCGCAGCCCCAGAAGGAGAGUCCCGGUGCCGCGGUCAGUAAUCGGGAGCCGGAGGCGGAGCAGGAGCGGGAGCCACAACUUGGGGGACCUGCUGCCUCUUGAAAUUGUGCAUGCUGGGCAACUACCUCAUUCCAUUGGACUGAAGGAGUCAUCAUAUCAUUAUCAUCUUCCUCAUCACUAUCAUCAUCAUUGCUUUACAACUGUAGAACCAACUACAAAGUACUUUUCUCGAAACUGUCCCAUGAGUGCCCAAACUGAAACUCAGAAGACUUUUCCGGAAUGCUUGGAACUCAGUUUCCUAGGACUUCUUCCUGUUUAACUACUGUAUGGAAUGUUUCUUUAGAAGUAAGAAAAGUUCUUUCUUUGAGUGUUUUAUAGGCUAC
rnacentral:lncRNA from 1 species